AAAGGAGAGAGAGUAGAGAGAGAAAGGGAGAGAGAGAGAGAGAGAGAGAGAGAGAGUACCAUAGUAAGUAUGCAGCUUGUGUGCAUCACAGUCAUCGCAGGGAGCACUUACGGUAAUUUUGUUUCAUUUUUUUAGACCAUCUGCCGAUUUUACUUCUCUGCCGACUCAGACCAGCAGUUGGUGUUUGUUUGUGUGUCAGAUUGUGUGGCUCCUGCCGACUCAGACCAGCAGUUGUUCCACCUGCAGCCCAUUAACACAGAUGUCUUCCCUUCCCUGCUGUGACUGCCCUGGCUCCACCGAAAGGCCCUGUUUGCAUAGUCUGUGUUUCUAAAAAAAAUAAAACACUCCUCUCUGUGCUCAGAUCGAUGCUAGCUGCACAAUAACAGAGAGCGAAAACAGGGUCAGCUGGGGAUCCGUCACCCAGCACACUUUCUAAAGCUUUCUGGGUGAAAUGGUGCUCAUCAUUAUUAUCAUUAUCAUCAAUUAUUGCACAUUCCCAUCCACAUUCAGUGCGCCCUCUUCAUGCCCCUUCUCUUAGUAGAGUGCCCAUCACCCAACCCACACAAGAGUUGGAAGCCUUUGGUAUGCUGAGUGGAUCCAGGUUUCAGGCGCCAACUUGUGCCACUUUCACAUCAUGUCGGAAACUUGGGAACUCUUGAGAUUUCCGACUUGCUUAUUCAUUGUAGAAAGAUGAUACAGAAUCAACCAACAGGAAGUUCUACGCAAAUAACUUACGUUAAUUUGAACUCUAAGGUCCCGAGUUUCCAACAUGACAUGAACACGGCAUAACACACGAAAUUGAAGGCAAUGGUCUGUGGUUUUAUGCUUUAAAAAUCAUUUUAGUGUUAUUUUUUUGUCUACCCCUCCAUAUUGUUCCUGUGUUUUUUGUAAGUUGCUGCUGUUGAAACAUCGCUCUCUCUUCCUUUGUUGGACUCUGUGUUAUACUGAGAAAAAAAUGAACUAUUUUGUAUAAAAGAUGUCUCUUUUCAAUGUGAUUAAAGGGGAAAUGUGCAAAGCC
ensembl:lncRNA